AGAGUUUGAUCAUGGCUCAGAAUCAACGCUGGCGGCGCGCUUAACACAUGCAAGUCGCACGAGAAAGUGGAGCAAUCCAUGAGUACAGUGGCGUACGGGUGAGUAACACGUGGAUCAUCUACCUCUUGAUGGGGAAUAACCCUGGGAAACCGGGGCUAAUACCGCAUAAGCCUGGAAAGGGAAAGCAGCAAUGCGUCGAGAGAGGAGUCCGCGGCCGAUUAGCUAGUUGGUAGGGUAAUGGCCUACCAAGGCAAUGAUCGGUAGCCGGCCUGAGAGGGCACACGGCCACACUGGCACUGAAACACGGGCCAGACUCCUACGGGAGGCAGCAGUGGGGAAUCUUGCACAAUGGGGGAAACCCUGAUGCAGCGACGCCGCGUGAGCGAUGAAGCCCUUCGGGGUGUAAAGCUCUUUCGGCAGGAACGAUAAUGACGGUACCUGAAGAAGAAGCUGCGGCUAACUACGUGCCAGCAGCCGCGGUAAUACGUAGGCAGCAAGCGUUGUUCGGAGUUACUGGGCGUAAAGAGUGUGUAGGCGGUUCUCUAAGUUCGGUGUGAAAUCUCCCGGCUCAACUGGGAGGGUGCGCCGGAAACUGGAGGGCUUGAGUAUGGGAGAGGAAAGCGGAAUUCCUGGUGUAGCGGUGAAAUGCGUAGAUAUCAGGAGGAACACCUGCGGUGUAGACAGCUUUCUGGACCAUCACUGACGCUGAGACACGAAAGCGUGGGUAGCAAACAGGAUUAGAUACCCCCGUAGUCC
rnacentral:rRNA from 1 species